UGGUUAAAGAGCUCGUAGUUGGAUCUCGGCGGACUGAGGGCGGUUUGCUUGCUAGUAUUACUGCCCUAUAGUCCGUAGUUUUGCCAGAGGUUUCGGGGUGCUCUUAAUCGAGUGUCCCGGGAUGCUGGCAGGUUUACUUUGAAAAAAUUAGAGUGCUCAAAGCAGGCUAUUACGCCUGAAUAUUCGUGCAUGGAAUAAUAGAAUAGGAAGUCGUUUCUAUUUUGUUGGUUUUCGGAAAUCGACUUAAUGAUUAAUAGGGACAGUCGGGGGCAUUUGUAUUCAAACGACAGAGGUGAAAUUCUUGGACCGUUUGAAGACAAACUACUGCGAAAGCAUUUGCCAAGAAUGUUUUCAUUAAUCAAGAACGAAAGUUAAAGGUUCGAAGGCGAUUAGAUACCGCCCUAGUUUUAACCAUAAACGAUGCCAGCUAGCGAUCUGCGGACGUUUUUUUUGUAGACUCCGCAGGAAGCUUCCGGGAAACCAAAGCAUUUGGGUUCCAGGGGAAGUAUGGUUGCAAAGCUGAAACUUAAAGGAAUUGACGGAAGGGCACCACCAGGAGUGGAGCCUGUGGCUUAAUUUGACUCAACACGGGAAAUCUCACCAGGCCCGGACACUGGAAGGAUUGACAGAUUGAUAGCU
rnacentral:rRNA from 1 species